rnacentral:rRNA from 1 species
CCUGGCUCAGGACGAACGCUGGCGGCGUGCCUAAUACAUGCAAGUCGAGCGGACGGAUGGGAGCUUGCUCCCUGAAGUCAGCGGCGGACGGGUGAGUAACACGUGGGCAACCUGCCUGUAAGACUGGGAUAACUUCGGGAAACCGGAGCUAAUACCGGAUAAUGCACAGCCUCUCAUGAGGCUAUGCUGAAAGAUGGUUUCGGCUAUCACUUACAGAUGGGCCCGCGGCGCAUUAGCUAGUUGGUGAGGUAACGGCUCACCAAGGCAACGAUGCGUAGCCGACCUGAGAGGGUGAUCGGCCACACUGGGACUGAGACACGGCCCAGACUCCUACGGGAGGCAGCAGUAGGGAAUCUUCCGCAAUGGACGAAAGUCUGACGGAGCAACGCCGCGUGAGUGAUGAAGGUUUUCGGAUCGUAAAACUCUGUUGUCAGGGAAGAACAAGUGCCGGAGUAACUGCCGGCACCUUGACGGUACCUGACCAGAAAGCCACGGCUAACUACGUGCCAGCAGCCGCGGUAAUACGUAGGUGGCAAGCGUUGUCCGGAAUUAUUGGGCGUAAAGCGCGCGCAGGCGGUCUCUUAAGUCUGAUGUGAAAG